UGGGGAAUUUUGGACAAUGGGCGCAAGCCUGAUCCAGCCAUUCCGCGUGCAGGAUGAAGGCCCUCGGGUUGUAAACUGCUUUUGUACGGAACGAAAAGGCUUUCUCUAAUACAGAGAGCUCAUGACGGUACCGUAAGAAUAAGCACCGGCUAACUACGUGCCAGCAGCCGCGGUAAUACGCAGGGUGCAAGCGUUAAUCGGAAUUACUGGGCGUAAAGCGUGCGCAGGCGGUGAUGUAAGACAGAUGUGAAAUCCCCGGGCUCAACCUGGGAACUGCAUUUGUGACUGCAUCGCUGGAGUGCGGCAGAGGGGAUGGAAUUCCGCGUGUAGCAGUGAAAUGCGUAGAUAUGCGGAGGAACACCGAUGGCGAAGGCAAUCCCCUGGGCCUGCACUGACGCUCAUGCACGAAAGCGUGGGGAGCAAACAGGAUUAGAUACCCUGGUAGUCCACGCCCUAAACGAUGUCAACUGGUUGUUGGGUCUUCACUGACUCAGUAACGAAGCUAACGCGUGAAGUUGACCGCCUGGGGAGUACGGCCGCAAGGUUGAAACUUAAAUGAAUUGACGGGGUCAUAGCUGUUUCCU
rnacentral:rRNA from 1 species